rnacentral:rRNA from 1 species
AUUGAACGCUGGCGGCAUGCCUUACACAUGCAAGUCGAACGGUAACGGGUCCUUCGGGAUGCCGACGAGUGGCGAACGGGUGAGUAAUAUAUCGGAACGUGCCCAGUAGUGGGGGAUAACUGCUCGAAAGAGCAGCUAAUACCGCAUACGACCUGAGGGUGAAAGGGGGGGAUGGCAAGAACUUCCGCUAUGGGAGCGGCCGAUGUCAGAUUAGCUAGUUGGUGGGGUAAAGGCCUACCAAGGCAACGAUCUGUAGUUGGUCUGAGAGGACGACCAGCCACACUGGGACUGAGACACGGCCCAGACUCCUACGGGAGGCAGCAGUGGGGAAUUUUGGACAAUGGGCGCAAGCCUGAUCCAGCAAUGCCGCGUGCAGGAAGAAGGCCUUCGGGUUGUAAACUGCUUUUGUCAGGGAAGAAAUCUUCUGGGCUAAUACCCCGGGAGGAUGACGGUACCUGAAGAAUAAGCACCGGCUAACUACGUGCCAGCAGCCGCCGUAA